GCCCAGCUCAGUUGGUAAAGCACUGCAGUACAAGACCCCGUCCUUCAUGUGUACAGUACAUUCCAAGAUAGGGAGGACACGGCGAGAGGACACAAGGGGGAGGGUGGUUGCGGGAUCGCAGGUUCAAAUCCUGCAUUGGGCG